rnacentral:rRNA from 1 species
GGACUACGGGGGUAUCUAAUCCGGUUCGCUACCCCAGCUUUCGUCCCUGACCGUCAGACGUGUUCUAGUCAGCAGCCUUCGCCACUGGUGGUCCUCCGGGGAUCAAAGGAUUUCGCCCCUACCCCCAGAAUACCGCUGACCUCUCCCACUCUCUAGCCAGGCAGUAUUUCCCGCAGUCCAACGCUUGAGACGUUGGAUUUAACGGGAAACUUACCCGGCCGGCUACGGACGCUUUAGGCCAAAUAAUCAUCCACACCACUCGAGGGGCUGGUGUUACCGCGGCGGCUGACACCAGUCUUGCCCCCCUCUUAUUCCCUAGGCUUUUUAGACCACGGAAAAGCCACCUUCUUCAGGUGGCACUCGAGGUAACCCCUUCACACGUUAGUGUAUUGAGGAGGUUUCGCGCCUGCUGCCCCCCAUAGG